rnacentral:rRNA from 1 species
UACGUAGGGGGCAAGCGUUGUCCGGAAUCAUUGGGCGUAAAGAGCGUGUAGGCGGCCCGGUAAGUCCGCUGUGAAAGUCCAGGGCUCAACCCUGGGAUGCCGGUGGAUACUGUCGGGCUCGAGUCCGGAAGAGGAGUGUGGAAUUCCUGGUGUAGCGGUGAAAUGCGCAGAUAUCAGGAGGAACACCGAUUGCGAAGGCAGCUCGCUGGGACGUAACUGACGCUGAGACGCGAAAGCGUGGGGAGCAAACAGG